ensembl:lncRNA
GGGGCGGAAGGGUCCUGGAAGGUCACAGCAAUACGGGGUGGUGGGGCUGGAAGGGUCCUGGAAGGUCAUCACUGAAUGGGUUUUAUUGGAAGGGUCCUGGAAGGUCAUCACUGAGUGGAUGGGAUUGGAAAGGUCCUGGAAGGUCAUCACUAAACGGGUUGGACUGGAAGGGUCCUGGAAGGUCAUCACUGAAUGGAUGGGAUUGGAAAGGUCCUGGAAGGUCAUCACUGAACGGGUUGGACUGGAAGGGUCCUGGAAGGUCAUCACUGAACGGGUUGGACUGGAAGGGUCCUGGAAGGUCAUCACUGAAUGGAUGGGAUUGGAAAGGUCCUGGAAGGUCAUCACUAAAUGGACAUGGUUGGAAGGGUCCUGGAAGGUCAUCACUGAAUGGAUGGGGUUGGAAAGGUCCUGGAAGGUCAUCACUGAGUGGGUUUUAUUGGAAGGGUCCUGGAAG